CUGAAUCUGCUAAAUCUGAUGAAAGAUCCACAAAUCUCAGCAAUCUGUUCGCAGACCAUGAUCCAGGAACUUUCAUUCCAAGAUUAUGAAGGAAGAUUAGCAAAACACUGCUCAAUGUUGAAAAAAAUGUCGAUUGUGCAUAUUUAAAAAAAAAAACCGAGCCAGCGAAACCAAUGCGGAAGAACGUGUCAUCUCAGUCUUUGACGGGAAAACUGUGCAACAUACCAGUCUUAUAUAAAGAGAAAACAAUGA